CUAGUCCUGCCUUUUCCCUGCCCCUGGAUAAAACUGUGAGCUUUGGGACCAUGUUCGUAUUUGCCUCUGCACCCUUCGACAGUGUAGCAGCAAUAAAUGCUCCUGCCGGAACACACGCAAAUGCCCUUCUCGACUCUUUGCUACCGACUAAAAUACUGAACCCACCCGUGCGUCUGUGGGUGCACGCGGGACCCCACAGAGCCAGGGAGGGACAGUAUUAGACCUGCUGUUUCAUCAACAUCAGCAUGUUUUCGUCUUAAGCAUGUGAAGAAAAGGCAGCCUCCAUCUGAUAUGAGCCCUUAUGUAUUCUUUUUGUGUGUCCAGUUGAGGGACGCCUUUUCAGGUGCUGCUUGUUGUGCGCAAGUGGAACUGGCACUUGCUUAGGUAAAUAAACGUAUUGGCUUACUGCAUAAGUCACCUCACCUGUGACAAACCAUCUAUUCUAUGAUUUAUCAUAUGUCAUUUUUCAUCACAUAUAACAUUAGCUUAUGAUACAUAUAUGUUUAAUCGUGGGCUUAUCCUGUACCCAUUGUCUCCCAGGUGGCUGAGUACCUAUCUAUAGCUCUUCGUGGCUCUAUUGGGGUUUGUACAUAGGAGCUGCAAGUAAAGGUAAGUCCAGCUGGAAAAUUGGAGAUAGAUAGAUUGGGAGAGAUGAAGAUCAACAGAUCCAGAUCAUUCCCUGAAUGGCAGAACUAAUAAGAACUGGUUUGCUCUGGCUUUGUCGCUUUGGGGUGCAAUACAUUUGUGUUCGUCCCACUGAAGUGCUCUCUUCCAUGGUACCUUCCAAUCUCUCUGUGUCCUCAUCAUGAGGUGUCUCACUUAACCCUAGUUCCUCUUCAUUCCAUGGCUUUUAGCUACCGUUGCUUGGUCUAACAACUGGGAAUGACCCAGGAGAUGCUGUUCUGGAGAUGCAUUCAUGCAAGGUGGCCAACCUGUACGUGUCCAGCAUGGUCAGCAGCUGUUACUGGAUGAACCUAAUUGACUGCUCCUCAUCUUUGCUGGCAAAAAAAUUAAUGACUUUGGGAGCUGCCUUCCAUGAUGUGCUGAAUUUUGCACAGGUCUGUUGUAAGAUUUUCCUACUUAAAAAAUGACUACGCUGUUCAGUUCUCUUGAAGCUAAACAAACAUGUCAGAGAGAUGGUGUGAUGCACGCAAGCUUCAUUUUGUCACGAACCAAGCUAAAAAAAAAAGAACAAAUCUGCCUAGGAAAAUUUUCAGCCAACAUUUGAGAAACUUGCCGUUAAUUAUCAAAAUGAAGAAGCAGAGUGUGCUAACACAGCAUUGAUUCAAAACAUCAGAAUCAAUUUCUCAAAAUAUAGAUGUGCUGAAAAUAAUACGUAAAACACAUUAGACUUGUGCACUGCCUGGUAUCCCUAUUUAGUUUCUGCAUCUGGCCUUGUUGUAAGAGCCUCCAACCCUAAAAAUUACCGUCCCUUCCCCAGACUCUAGAGGAUAUACAGAAUUUAGAAGGACCAUUUUCUUCCUUAGGUGUCAGAGAACCUCUGUCUUUUAAGGUUGUUUAUUCAAAGUGAGUAAAUUGAACUAGGUCAGCCUGAAUGAUGGUGAUGUUCUUCAGAGUGCCUGUGUUCUUGGAGCAUCUCUGGAGGACUGCUGCUCUGUAAGGUGUCUGCCACCAACCCUUCCUCUUGGCCGUUGUUGCUCACAGAGCUUCUGGCCUGUGACAAACAUAUCUAUGCAGGCUUUGCAGAGCAGAUUUGGAUUCAUUGAUGCAAAAAGAUGUAGAAGCUAAAUAUGCAUUUAUUGUAUCACUUUCUAUUGCUGUAAACUCAGUAUUUUAAAGGCUUUAAAGUUUCUGGAAAUGGAUUUUUGAUUUAUUCUGAUAACAGUCUUCUGAUGCUUAUUCAUUUACCAUCUAUGUUCUGAAGGCCAGUUGGGAACUACAUCUCUCACAAAUCAUCCUGUGUAUUUUGUGUGAAUCCAGGCCUUCCCGCACUUCACUUGGUUGUUGUAAAUGCAGUUUAUAAUUCAUACAGAAUGUGGUUCUUCUGCCCUGUGACUAGGAAAUGUUAAAAGAAAGCAUUCAGUCAUAGCUUAUGCAUCUGGUGAUGCAGACUGGGGUUUUUAAAAGAACCCAGAAGAAUUAGGCAUUCAAAUUUCAUUAAAAGGCUGUGAAAGUGAAGCAUAUAAGCUCUAUUAAAAAGCUCAGUCAUUAUCUAUAGCUCUUGGUUUUUUUCUCCAAUUUAAUUUGUGCAAAAGCCUGCUUUGGGGAGAGAAGUGGACAGGGCUGAUUUUGCUCACCUUUCCUUCUCCUUGGUGCUGAGGCACAGCCCUGCCUUAGAGCUUGAGCAUGCUGUGGCUCACUCAGCUCUUCCAUUUUGAGCUGCGGCUUCAAGUACCCACAUGGGUACUGAUUUUAUAAUUAAAACUGCAUUUUCCUAACUAUAAAAAUGAAUGUGAGUAUCCGAUCAGUAAAACUGUUGAUAUAAAUAGCUUGGUGAAUAUGAUGUUGAAAAUGGUUUACCCAUAUAUAUGUGUGUGUAUCUAUCUAUGGAUAUAUCUAUAUAUGACAUCCUGGAAACUAUUUGUACUUUUUCACACUCUGAAAUGUUCAGGGAGACAAAGCUGAAUUAAAAUCAGUGCAGAAAAUAAAAUUGUACUACAGAAUGUAAAGGAAUUGGAUAUGUUGCUUUUAAAUACAAUGCAAUGUGACUAAAUGUUACGUGUAAUAGUCUGUCACUUGUCUGAGAGAACACAGAAGUUUCCGUUAUAUGCAAGAAUCAGGAAAGUACAAUAUGAUAAAUAUAAUGAUGAGAAAGAUGAGAGAUCAAUUGGAUACAGUCGGGUGAAGAAGAGUAAGUAGGGAGCGGAGUUUGAUCUGCAGUCAGAGGUGAUUGCUGCAGCAGUACAGAAUAUGCAGAAUUGCUGCAGGAAGGAGUUAAUCAUUGUGCCAGCAAAUGCUCAGCCCCUGUUGAUUGCAAAAGAGAAUUAAUGGUUUUCCUGCCUGGUGCUGAAAAUAGAAGUCAAAUUUAAGUUGUUUCUCGAAGGCAGAUAUAAUUAGAUUAUGAAACUUGUGGCUUUUAGGUCUAAAUAAUAGGAUGAGAAUGACCACCCUAAAUCAGAACAGAGUACAGUCUCUUAACUGUUUCUUAGGAGUGUGAACAGGACAAGCAUAGAGUGAUAUUUUUCCCAUUUUCCAGCUGUGCACAAUGUACACACUACUUAAACUGUAGAUUAAGUGCAUCAUAUAUUUAUUAUCCCUUGCUGAACCCUUUCUCUAUAGAUUGUUCCAAAUAUUUAUUAAACCCAUUUAUGUUUUUGUAACAACAUUCUUGUAACAAUAGACUAUACUCUGUGGCUGUGAAUUGUAUGGAAAAAUAUUUCUGUUUGAUUAAAACUGUGAUACUUGGUGCUUGUUAAGUCUUAUGGUAGGAUGAAUAGUGAACAACUCUUCCUUACUUACUAUCUAUGUUAGUUUCACUUCUAUAUAAAAUUAUAUCCUCUUUUUCAUCUCUUUUUCAAGUUGAAAAGUACUUUCAUCCACCCUCAUACAGUUACAACAGUAUACUGCUAUGCAUCUAUGUUGUCUAGCAUACACCAGUCCUACUUCUAAUAAACCCUCGGACAUGGAUCAUUCAGACUUAGGUGAAGUGUUUGGGAUGUGGAUGCAGUCUGGGUUUAUACAGUGGUGUAAUAUUUUGUCUUUUAACUUUUCAUUCUUACAUAAUGAUUUUUAGUUCAGUUUACAUUUUUUGUCUGCCAGUGAGCACUGGACAGAUGUUUUCAGAGAGUUCUCAACAAGUCGUCUGAGAUUCUUGCUGAAGCGAUACUAAAUUAUUUAUUUGUUUGUUAUUUGUCCCUGUGUAUGUACAGUUAGGCUUCUUCCCAUGUGUAUUACUUUGCAUUUAUUGCUAUUAAAUACUGUCCACAUUUUUUGUUGCUGAAUCACUCAGUGUUCAGUAUAAUGAGACCUUUUGGGGUAUUGACUAUUUUGAGUAAUUUGUGUCAUCAGCAAACUUUACCAUCUCAUUAUUAAUUCCCUCUUCCAGAUCAUUUAUGAAUAUAUUGAAGAGAACAAUUUCUAGUGCAGAUAUCUGAUCACUUCUCUCCCAUGGAGAAAACAAUUUAUUAUUAUUCUCCAACACAUCAUUUAUCUACAUUUAUCUACUAAGGAAUUUUCAUCCUUCUGAUAACUUAGUUUCUUUAAGAGCCUUUAGAGAGAGGUCUUGACUUCUGGAACAUUUGACUUCUGGAAAUCCAAGAACACUAUAGCAGUCGGCAUUCCAAAGCUGGCUGACAUCUUUAAAGAACUAUUAAUAUCAUAAUUUUCAUCAACUAAAAGUAAAUUGAACACCCUAAAUAUAGUAAGGUUUCUCUAUUUGCAAAUAUUACAUUAUUUGUAUACUAAGAAUAUCUCAAAUACUUUUAUUAUUUGUACUAUUUCUAGCAGUUAGUGACAAUUUCUGCAGAAAAGUUAUUACUAUGCUGCCAGAAACUCCAGAGCGAGGUGCAGCUUUUCACUGACCCUGAGUAGAGCACGGUUUCUUUGUGAUAGAAGUCUUCUAUUUAUUUUGUGUAAAUGACACAUCCCUGAAGAAACAGGGAGGGAAUGAAAGUUACAUUUUAUCACAGUAGCAUUUGCAGAAAGGUGAAGUGUGAGAGUCCCUAUUCAUAAUGAAACCUGGGCCAACCAUGAGUUCCUAAAAACCUUACCUGCAGGUGCUUAAUUUUUUUUAUUAAAAAAUUUAUAUCUGAACUUUAUGAACUUAUGAUUAAACUUUUAAAAUAAAUUAAAGAUGAGAGGAUUAGAUGUGGAAUUGGAAAUGAACUGUGGUAUCUUUUGCCUCUAGCUCAGCAUUUUGAAGGCAAUCCAAAUGAGAUGUGACAAAGUGCAGCACAUUCUUUUUUUUUGCUGACCUGUGUGAAAGAGGAGUUUGGUCUCUGCCAAGUUCUUUGUGUAUUUACUGACGUGUAAGGAAACCCCUUUGGAGAGCCCAACACUAUGGAACAGCUAUGUUUGGGUUUGAUUCUGAACAAAACCAUGCUCUUAGUUUUAAACAAAUACAUAAUUUCCAAGGUGACAAGAAAUCUCCCACAGAAAUUGUAGAAUAAUAGGAUCUAGUAAAUGCUUGCUAUUCAAAAUAAGUUUACCACCACAGCAUCUGAAAACCUUAUCAUGAAGCCACACGGGGAAUUUGCUCAUGAAAAAGUCCAGCAGCCAUAUGGUAGGUGGCAAAUAAUACAGUAAAACUUUCUCUUCACAGAAACACAGGUCUACUUCCAGAAGUAAGGUCAAGAUCUUCUGAAAGAAGGGAAGAGUGUUCUAGCUUGCUUUUAGAGUGCCUAGUGUUUGUAUCACUUAAAUCUCAGAGUUUUGUGACUCUGCAAAGGCUCUCUCUAAAAUCUGAAGAUGAACAUAUUAUUAUGUAGGAACUGAUUAUUCACUUUCAACAGAACCUUUUCUUUCUGCCACUUGGCAUAUGCCACUAUUAAUAUCCUUAGGAUUCUUGAAAUGGGAGGACGAGGCAAUAGUGGUGACCCUUCCCACCCAUCCCACCAGCUAGUAGUGCUGUUCAUAUUUACUGCCACAUAUGGAUGUUAUGGCAGAAUCAAUUUUACAUCUACAGAGCUGCAGGGUGCUGUAUCUCUUUCUGAGGCAUUAUCAUGCCAGCUUUUCUUCCUAGUGAUGCUUUUCCACCUUCAGUACAAAGCUGGGACUUGAAAAUAAAGUUAGAGGUUUAUUUUACCUGUUGACCAUCUGUACUGUAUACACACUGAAGCGAUGCAGGCAAAAUUCAAACUUACUAAAGCUUCUGUCAAAAUCCAAAGGGGAAAUAAAUGUUUGAUGUUUUACACAUCCAAGCUUCUCCUGUUUCUCAGUUUUUGGUGCUUAGUUUACUUGAAAGGGUCAGAAAAUUCAAAACCUAAAAUCCGUGGGGCUAUUACACUUUCAAUAAUUAUCCACUCAACACUGGAAAUUUCAAAACAACAUCACCUGAUCUCAAAACAACCUCUCAUCCUGAGAGAAAAUAGCUGAGAACUUUUUAUGAGUUUAAAUGUACUCUUACAUUGUAAUUUGGAGGAUAGGUGAAGUGACACAGGAGAGCAGGAGGCACAUACUAAUCAGAGAACUGUAUAAAUAAUGCAUGUUAUAUACACCUGAGUGUUGAUAGUGCUUUAUGAGCCCACCACAGAGGCAGUGGCCAGCUGGGUGGACCAGGAGCCACCUAGAAACAAAUAAGGUAGCUGGGGCAAAUGAAAGUCAAGGAGUUUCUCACAUUUACCCACUUAACCAAUCUAAGUAAACUCCUAGCAACAAAACAGUUCAUGAAAAUAUUACAACAGCAAGUUUCAGGUUGACGUGCUAAAGACAUCUCUGGAAAACAAGGUAGUUGCAGAAGUCAUUUAAUGUAUCUCCACACGUUGGUGUUUGAACAGAAGUGUACAAGACUCUUGGGGUGGGGCAGUUAUGAGAGAUUAUACCCCUGCAAGAGUCUCACCAAAGUAAUAUUUUGGCAAUACAGACAGGAGUGUUGUCCCUCUUCCCUACCCCUCUUCAGCAAGCCAUGUGUCUCCUCUUUCAGGUGACAGACAGGUGUCCAGAAGGCAAAUCUCACUGCGUGAAAAAGAUGGGAGGUGUUUGCCUUCACUGAUUUGUCUGGCUAUCAAGCUCAAUUAGCAACCACUGGGUCCCAAAGCAAGGAGUGAAUGCAUGCUUUGCCAUGGUUUGUCUUCAUGCCAACCUCUCUCCAGUGAUACACUAUUAAAAGUGCAAAUCAUGAAGCGAUCAGAGCAGGGACCACAACAUGUACUAGAAAUGUGGCAGUUCACACUUCAUAAUUAAAUUGACAGCAAGAUAAAAUAAGGGCUUCUUUUAUAAAACAAAAAUGAAGAGUACAGGAUGGCAAGAGGUAAUCUGCCUUUUACUAGAAGUAAGACCUGAAACAUGAAUUCUUGUGUUUGUAACUGGAUAAGAUCCUGUUCAAUGCUGAUGAUAUAAUAUGUGAAUGUUGGAUGGAAAUAAGAUGAUUUACAUUUAUUAUAUGCCAUGCAAUGUAAUGAUUACCUAAAAUAUCUUUCCUUUGUCACGAUUUAAAAACAAAUCAUGUCAGGGAAAAUAUCAGAAAAAAAAGAUUUUGUGAAUACUGGGUGUGUGCAUACAUAUUAUCUUACAAUGCUUACUGCUUAUGAGGAUAUAGAAAACAAUCUCUUUAUUCUCAAGAUAAGUUUAAAGUAUUAAUUAUUUUGAAUGUUCUUUAAGAAAAGUGGUACUUCCAAAGGACUUAAGUUAGAAAAUCAGGAGUUUCUAAAACAACCAACAAUUCUUUUUGGGCUUCUUUUUUAGCUAGUUGUGCAUACUUAGAUGAGUGUAGGAUUUGCCCUAAAAUUGUUAAACUAUGUAUGUUUUGAAUGAUAAUUAAUUUCUAAUAUAAAUCACAGUAUUUACAUUCCUGAUCCAAAAGACAAAAAGAAGUCACAGAGACAAAGUAUUAUCCAUCUGUAGAUAUAUGCCAUAAUAUAGAAACAUAGAAAAUGUUUUUUUCCCCAAUGCUUGUAUUUUUCAUGCUUUGUUUUUCUUCCUAGAGUGCUUCAGAUCAGGAUCUUGGUAUCUGAUUGUGGAACAGCUCCAUGAAGAGAGAUUCCAAGCAAUGCUUCGUAGACUAGCUGAGAGCCUGUGGGGCAGAACGCUCAUUUGGAUAAUGAGAUAAUAUCAACAUCAGGUCUUAAAUAGGAAUCUCCAACAUCAGAGUCUUUACCACCACAUUCCUUGCUAUUAAAUUGUUGUGGUCUGUUUGGUGUUUCCUUGAAUAUAUUAAAUCUUUUCGUCCUCAA